rnacentral:rRNA from 1 species
GACAGAGGAUGCAAGUGUUAUCCGGAAUCACUGGGCGUAAAGCGUCUGUAGGUGGUUUAAAAAAGUCCACUGUUAAAAAUUGAAGCUUAACUUCAAAGAUGCCGUGGAAACUUUUAAACUUGAGUAUGAUAGGGGUAGAGGGAAUUUCCAGUGGAGCGGUGAAAUGCGUAGAUAUUGGAAAGACCACCAAUGGCGAAGGCACUCUACUGGGCCAUUACUGACACUGAGAGACGAAAGCUAGGGGAGCGAAUGGG